rnacentral:rRNA from 1 species
AUUGAACGCUGGCGGCAUGCUUUACACAUGCAAGUCGAACGGUAACAGACCGCAAGGUGCUGACGAGUGGCGAACGGGUGAGUAAUGCAUCGGAACGUGCCCAGUCGUGGGGGAUAACGCAGCGAAAGCUGUGCUGAUACCGCAUACGAUCUGUGGAUGAAAGCGGGGGACCGUAAGGCCUCGCGCGAUUGGAGCGGCCGAUGUCAGAUUAGGUAGUUGGUGGGGUAAAGGCCUACCAAGCCGACGAUCUGUAGCUGGUCUGAGAGGACGACGCCACACUGGGACUGAGACACGGCCCAGACUCCUACGGGAGGCAGCAGUGGGGAAUUUUGGACAAUGGGCGCAAGCCUGAUCCAGCAAUGCCGCGUGCAGGAAGAAGGCCUUCGGGUUGUAAACUGCUUUUGUACGGAACGAAACGGUCUGGGUGAAUACCCUGGGCUAAUGACGGUACCGUAAGAAUAAGCACCGGCUAACUACGUGCCAGCCGCCGCCGUAAGAC